AGAUCCUUCUCCCAAGAGCUCAUGUAUGAGGGAAUUUCCUUGUCUACUAGGUUCAUAAGUGAGGUGUAACAAAAAGAUAAUGCUUUGAUACCCUUUAGUUUUCCUUGGCACUUGAGGAGAAAUCGUGGCGAUGGGGAUUUCCUGCCUCUAUGUAGUUUAUGAUCAUGUAAGAUGUUUUUUAUGCGUAGGUAUGUGAAUAGUUCCCUAGACGGGAGGGUGAAG